UGUCCCUACGGGAGGCAGCAGUGAGGAAUAUUGGUCAAUGGGCUUACGCCUGAACCAGCAACGCCGCGUGAGGGAAGACGGUUUUCGGAUUGUAAACCUCUGUCCUCUGUGAAGAUAAUGACGGUAGCAGAGGAGGAAGCUCCGGCUAACUACGUGCCAGCAGCCGCGGUAAUACGUAGGGAGCGAGCGUUGUCCGGAUUUACUGGGUGUAAAGGGUGCGUAGGCGGGGAAGCAAGUCAGAAGUGAAAUCCAUGGGCUUAACCCAUGAACUGCUUUUGAAACUGUUUAUCUUGAGUGAAGUAGAG
rnacentral:rRNA from 1 species